AGAACAGUUAGUGGUCAAUUCAGGAGAAAGGCAGAUAUUCCUACCUGCCUCCUGUGCCAGAUACUGACUUGCUGUACUGUGUGAAUAGUGUCUGCUGGGGCUCACUUUGAGGAAGGAAGAGUUUGAUUUAUUUCUUCUGAAGUGUGAGACUGCUUUGAAGAGUUUCUUGUGCCCAUUUGGUGACAAAUAUAAUUACGACUGAGUAUGAUGCAGAUGAAGAAGUAUUCAAGAGGAGUCAGAGAUACUGCUGAUCGCCUCAGGCACUAUAUGUUUUGCCUUUAGCUGCCCCCCACACACAUCAAGAUUUUCUGCUUAAAGCUUCUGGGUUGCACAGAGAAGGGUU
rnacentral:lncRNA from 1 species